CGGGACACGUGGUAUCCUGUCUGAAUAUGGGGGGACCAUCCUCCAAGGCUAAAUACUCCUGACUGACCGAUAGUGAACCAGUACCGUGAGGGAAAGGCGAAAAGAACCCCGGCGAGGGGAGUGAAAAAGAACCUGAAACCGUGUACGUACAAGCAGUGGGAGCACGCUUAGGCGUGUGACUGCGUACCUUUUGUAUAAUGGGUCAGCGACUUAUAUUCUGUAGCAAGGUUAACCGAAUAGGGGAGCCGAAGGGAAACCGAGUCUUAACUGGGCGUUAAGUUGCAGGGUAUAGACCCGAAACCCGGUGAUCUAGCCAUGGGCAGGUUGAAGGUUGGGUAACACUAACUGGAGGACCGAACCGACUAAUGUUGAAAAAUUAGCGGAUGACUUGUGGCUGGGGGUGAAAGGCCAAUCAAACCGGGAGAUAGCUGGUUCUCCCCGAAAGCUAUUUAGGUAGCGCCUCGUGAAUUCAUCUCCGGGGGUAGAGCACUGUUUCGGCAAGGGGGUCAUCCCGACUUACCAACCCGAUGCAAACUGCGAAUA
rnacentral:rRNA from 1 species